AGGGAAUGCUAUAUCUGGUGCUCCUAACCA
rnacentral:sRNA from 1 species